rnacentral:siRNA from 1 species
UCGAAUCUCCUGUUAUAUGGACA